rnacentral:rRNA from 1 species
UCCUACGGGAGGCAGCAGUGGGGAAUAUUGGACAAUGGGCGAAAGCCUGAUCCAGCAAUGCCGCGUGUGUGAAGAAGGCCUGCGGGUUGUAAAGCACUUUCAGCAGUGAGGAAAGGCUUACAGUUAAUACCUGUUAGAGUUGACGUUAACUGCAGAAGAAGCACCGGCUAACUCUGUGCCAGCAGCCGCGGUAAUACAGAGGGUGCGAGCGUUAAUCGGAAUUAUUGGGCGUAAAGGGUGCGUAGGUGGUUAGAUAAGUUAGAUGUGAAAGCCCUGGGCUUAACCUGGGAAUUGCGUUUGAUACUGUCUGGCUAGAGUACUGUAGAGGGAAGUAGAAUUUCCGGUGUAGCGGUGAAAUGCGUAGAUAUCGGAAGGAAUACCAGUGGCGAAGGCGACUUCCUGGACAGAUACUGACACUGAGGCACGAAAGCGUGGGGAGCAAACAGGAUUAGAUACCCUGGUAGUCCACGCCGUAAACGAUGAGAACUUGCUGUUGGGCGCUUUGUGCGCUUGGUAGCGUAGCUAACGCGAUAAGUUCUCCGCCUGGGGAGUACGGCCGCAAGGCUAAAACUCA